UACGUAGGGUGCGAGCGUUGUCCGGAAUUAUUGGGCGUAAAGAGCUUGUAGGCGGUCUGUCGCGUCUGCUGUGAAAAUCCGGGGCUCAACCCCGGACUUGCAGUGGGUACGGGCAGACUAGAGUGUGGUAGGGGGAGACUGGAAUUCCUGGUGUAGCGGUGGAAUGCGCAGAUAUCAGGAGGAACACCGGUGGCGAAGGCGGGUCUCUGGGAAUAUCCUGACGCUGAGGAGCGAAAGUGUGGGGAGCGAACAGG
rnacentral:rRNA from 1 species